rnacentral:rRNA from 1 species
CCUACGGGAGGCAGCAGUGGGGAAUAUUGGACAAUGGGCGAAAGCCUGAUCCAGCCAUGCCGCGUGAGUGAUGAAGGUCUUCGGAUCGUAAAGCUCUGUGGGAAGGGACGAAAAAGCGUGACCUAAUACGUCUCGCCUUGACGGUACCUUCUUAGCAAGCACCGGCUAACUCCGUGCCAGCAGCCGCGGUAAU